GUGUAUGGCCAUACCACACUGAACAUGCCUGCUCUUGAAAACUAAGCAGAGUCGGGCCUGGUUAGUACUUGGAUGAUUGAAAGCUUUGUUCACUGUAAUGU
rnacentral:rRNA from 1 species